rnacentral:rRNA from 1 species
GACGAACGCUGGCGGCGUGCCUAAUACAUGCAAGUAGAACGCUGAAGGAGGAGCUUGCUUCUCUGGAUGAGUUGCGAACGGGUGAGUAACGCGUAGGUAACCUGCCUGGUAGCGGGGGAUAACUAUUGGAAACGAUAGCUAAUACCGCAUAAUAGUAGAUGUUGCAUGACAUUUGCUUAAAAGGUGCAAUUGCAUCACUACCAGAUGGACCUGCGUUGUAUUAGCUAGUUGGUGAGGUAACGGCUCACCAAGGCAACGAUACAUAGCCGACCUGAGAGGGUGAUCGGCCACACUGGGACUGAGACACGGCCCAGACUCCUACGGGAGGCAGCAGUAGGGAAUCUUCGGCAAUGGACGGAAGUCUGACCGAGCAACGCCGCGUGAGUGAAGAAGGUUUUCGGAUCGUAAAGCUCUGUUGUAAGAGAAGAACGAGUGCGAGAGUGGAAAGUUCACACUGUGACGGUAUCUUACCAGAAAGGGACGGCUAACUACGUG